rnacentral:rRNA from 1 species
CAGCAGCCGCGGUAAGGCGAACCGUGCAAACGUUACUCGGAAUCACUGGGCUUAAAGCGCACGUAGGCGGCGACAUAAGUUAGAGGUGAAAUCCCAUCGGCUCAACCGUGGAACUGCCUCUAAUACUGUGUUGCUUGAGGGAGAACGGGGCAUUCGGAACUUCCGGUGGAGCGGUGAAAUGUGUUGAUAUCGGAAGGAACGCCGGUGGCGAAAGCGGAAUGCUGGGUCCCUUCUGACGCUGAGGUGCGAAAGCUAGGGUAGCGAACGGGAUUAGAUACCCCAGUAGUCCCUGUCUCUUAUA